rnacentral:rRNA from 1 species
AGUGAACGCUGGCGGUAGGCCUAACACAUGCAAGUCGAACGGCAGCACAGUAAGAGCUUGCUCUUACGGGUGGUGAGUGGCGGACGGGUGAGGAAUACAUCGGAAUCUACUUUUUCGUGGGGGAUAACGUAGGGAAACUUACGCUAAUACCGCAUACGACCUACGGGUGAAAGUAGGGGAUCUUCGGACCUUGCGCGAUUGAAUGAGCCGAUGUCGGAUUAGCUAGUUGGCGGGGUAAAGGCCCACCAAGGCGACGAUCCGUAGCUGGUCUGAGAGGAUGAUCAGCCACACUGGAACUGAGACACGGUCCAGACUCCUACGGGAGGCAGCAGUGGGGAAUAUUGGACAAUGGGCGCAAGCCUGAUCCAGCCAUACCGCGUGGGUGAAGAAGGCCUUCGGGUUGUAAAGCCCUUUUGUUGGGAAAGAAAAGCAGCAGGUUAAUACCCCGCUGUUCUGACGGUACCCAAAGAAUAAGCACCGGCUAACUUCGUG